CGGUUUUUGAUGAUACGAAGCAUUCACUAAUUUCGCAUCUAGCCUUGACUUUUCUAUAUUGACAAAAUAUAAAACCUCUGCAAUUAAGAUCCGUUCGACGUCAUCCAGUUAUGCUUUGGUGGUGGCGGUAGCCCCUUCGGAGGUAAACCGUAUCCGAACCAACCGAAUGACUGACUGCCAUUAUGGUAUUCCUUCACAUGUGAUUUUGUCCAUUGAAAUACUGACAGAAGCACCUUCACUUGCAAGUUGUUUAAACAUAUUUUUCUGCCAGGAAAGAGAACUUAUUUCGCUUAUGCCUGAGCAUUGUGGUGUCUAACAUAUCCAUGCUUUUGUAUUCGAUAAUUUAAGUAGUUCCUUUUAAGUUAUAAAUAAUUUUUUUUGUAAGAUGACCUUACCGACUAUCCUAUUAUUUAAAAUCAUUUGCCAUGUUUGUACUCCCGCUGAAGGGCUUCCCAAUCUAAUAUUUCAUUCAAAUAUCACAUCUUGACAGGUUAAACAGUAGCCUUACAGAUGAUCCUUCUCUUUGUAUGAUCAGUAUUGGGAGGGCUUCGCAGUUCCAGAUGUGCUGAUGAGUUUGCUGGCGUUGGCUUUAACGGAACAGAUGGUGUCGGCUUACUUGAAAAUCUUGGCAGGUUGCUAUUCAUAGUGUCAGUUACUGGCCUGUCUUAGCAGUUUCUGCAUCUUUGCUGCUUCUAUUUUACUAUCGGCGCAAGGUGGCAUCUAUGUCGGGCUGUCGGCAAUCUGAACUCUCUUCGGUUCUCAGCCUCUGAACAUGAUGACCAUGUGGACUAAGCUUGCAUGUGGGUGCGUCGAGGAGCAUGUCCAACUUAUGAAGGGGUAACAACUAAUUGGUCAGACUGUGUGAAGACAUCAUAGAUUGGAGAACGUCAGAUAUGUGUCCUUGUGUUCAAGCCUAAAAGGGGCAAACUGUCGCUUGCUAUCUACCUGCUUUGACAAGGUUCAUAUGACAUGGCAUGUGAACA